UCCAGACUCCUACGGGAGGCAGCAGUGGGGGAUAUUGCACAAUGGGGGCAACCCUGAUGCAGCGACGCCGCGUGAGCGAUGGAGUACUUCGGUAUGUAAAGCUCUGUCAGCAGGGAAGAGAAUGACGGUACCUGACCAAGAAGCCACGGCUAACUACGUGCCAGCAGCCGCGGUAAUACGUAGGUGGCAAGCGUUAUCCGGAUUUACUGGGUGUAAAGGGCGAGUAGGCGGGAUUGCAAGUCAGAUGUGAAAACUAUGGGCUCAACCGAUAGAGUGCAUUUGAAACUGCAGUUCUUGAGUGAUGGAGAGGCAGGCGGAAUUCCCGGUGUAGCGGUGGAAUGCGUAGAUAUCGGGAGGAACACCAGUGGCGAAGGCGGCCUGCUGGACAUUAACUGACGCUGAGGCGCGAAAGCGUGGGGAGCAAACAGGAUUAGAUACCCUGGUAU
rnacentral:rRNA from 1 species